rnacentral:rRNA from 1 species
UACAGAGGGUGCUAGCGUUGUUCGGAAUCAUUGGGCGUAAAGGGCGUGUAGGCGGUUUGUUAAGUCAUGUGUGAAAUCCCUCGGCUCAACCGGGGAACGACGCAUGAAACUGGCAAGCUAGAGUACCAAAGAGGGGGUGGAAUUCCCGGUGUAGCGGUGAAAUGCGUAGAUAUGCGGAGGAACACCGAUGGCGAAGGCAAUCCCCUGGGCCUGCACUGACGCUCAUGCACGAAAGCGUGGGGAGCAAACAGG